UGGGGAAUAUUGCACAAUGGGCGCAAGCCUGAUGCAGCCAUGCCGCGUGUAUGAAGAAGGCCUUCGGGUUGUAAAGUACUUUCAGCGGGGAGGAAGGCGAUGCGGUUAAUAACCACGUCGAUUGACGUUACCCGCAGAAGAAGCACCGGCUAACUCCGUGCCAGCAGCCGCGGUAAUACGGAGGGUGCAAGCGUUAAUCGGAAUUACUGGGCGUAAAGCGCACGCAGGCGGUCUGUCAAGUCGGAUGUGAAAUCCCCGGGCUCAACCUGGGAACUGCAUCCGA
rnacentral:rRNA from 1 species